CCUACGGGGGGCUGCAGUGGGGAAUCUUGCACAAUGGGGGGAACCCUGAUGCAGCGACGCCGCGUGAGUGAAGAAGGUCUUCGGAUCGUAAAACUCUGUCCCAUGGGAAGAAGAAGACGGUACCAUGGGAGGAAGCCCCGGCUAACUACGUGCCAGCAGCCGCGGUAACACGUAGGGGGCAAGCGUUGUCCGGAAUCAUUGGGCGUAAAGGGUACGUAGGCGGUUCAUUAAGUUCUCUGUGAAAGCGUGGGGCUCACCCCCAUUGAGCAGAGAAAACUGGCGAACUUGAGGGAUGGAGAGGAAAGUGGAAUUCCUAGUGUAGCGGUGAAAUGCGUAGAUAUUAGGAGGAAUACCGGUGGCGAAGGCGACUUUCUGGCCAUACCCUGACGCUGAGGUACGAAAGCGUGGGGAGCAAACAGGAUUAGAUACCCGUGUAGUC
rnacentral:rRNA from 2 species